rnacentral:rRNA from 1 species
ACUUGGAAACAGGUGCUAAUACCGUAUAACAAUCGAAACCGCAUGGUUUUGAUUUGAAAGGCGCUUUCGGGUGUCGCUGAUGGAUGGACCCGCGGUGCAUUAGCUAGUUGGUGAGGUAACGGCUCACCAAGGCCACGAUGCAUAGCCGACCUGAGAGGGUGAUCGGCCACAUUGGGACUGAGACACGGCCCAAACUCCUACGGGAGGCAGCAGUAGGGAAUCUUCGGCAAUGGACGAAAGUCUGACCGAGCAACGCCGCGUGAGUGAAGAAGGUUUUCGGAUCGUAAAACUCUGUUGUUAGAGAAGAACAAGGAUGAGAGUAACUGUUCAUCCCUUGACGGUAUCUAACCAGAAAGCCACGGCUAACUACGUGCCAGCAGCCGCGGUAAUACGUAGGUGGCAAGCGUUGUCCGGAUUUAUUGGGCGUAAAGCGAGCGCAGGCGGUUUCUUAAGUCUGAUGUGAAAGCCCCCGGCUCAACCGGGGAGGGUCAUUGGAAACUGGGAGACUUGAGUGCAGAAGAGGAGAGUGGAAUUCCAUGUGUAGCGGUGAAAUGCGUAGAUAUAUGGAGGAACACCAGUGGCGAAGGCGGCUCUCUGGUCUGUAACUGACGCUGAGGCUCGAAAGCGUGGGGAGCAAACAGGAUUAGAUACCCUGGUAGUCCACGCCGUAAACGAUGAGUGCUAAGUGUUGGAGGGUUUCCGCCCUUCAGUGCUGCAGCUAACGCAUUAAGCACUCCGCCUGGGGAGUACGACCGCAAGGUUGAAACUCAAAGGAAUUGACGGGGGCCCGCACAAGCGGUGGAGCAUGUGGUUUAAUUCGAAGCAACGCGAAGAACCUUACCAGGUCUUGACAUCCUUUGACCACUCUAGAGAUAGAGCUUCCCCUUCGGGGGCAAAGUGACAGGUGGUGCAUGGUUGUCGUCAGCUCGUGUCGUGAGAUGUUGGGUUAAGUCCCGCAACGAGCGCAACCCUUAUUGUUAGUUGCCAUCAUUCAGUUGGGCACUCUAGCAAGACUGCCGGUGACAAACCGGAGGAAGGUGGGGAUGACGUCAAAUCAUCAUGCCCCUUAUGACCUGGGCUACACACGUGCUACAAUGGGAAGUACAACGAGUCGCGAAGUCGCGAGGCUAAGCUAAUCUCUUAAAGCUUCUCUCAGUUCGGAUUGUAGGCUGCAACUCGCCUACAUGAAGCCGGAAUCGCUAGUAAUCGCGGAUCAGCACGCCGCGGUGAAUACGUUCCCGGGCCUUGUACACA